rnacentral:rRNA from 1 species
UACAGAGGGGGCAAGCGUUGUUCGGAAUUACUGGGCGUAAAGGGCGCGUAGGCGGCCUGCUAAGUCGAACGUGAAAUCCCUGGGCUCAACCCAGGAACUGCGUCCGAUACUGGUUGGCUUGAAUCCGGGAGAGGGAUGUGGAAUUCCAGGUGUAGCGGUGAAAUGCGUAGAUAUCUGGAGGAACACCGGUGGCGAAGGCGACAUCCUGGACCGGUAUUGACGCUGGGGCGCGAAAGCCAGGGGAGCAAACGGG